AUUGAACGCUGGCGGCAGGCUUAACACAUGCAAGUCGAACGAGUGGCGGACGGGUGAGUAAUGUCGGGGAAACUGCCUGAUGGAGGGGGAUAACUACUGGAAACGGUAGCUAAUACCGCAUACCAUCGGCUGUGCUGAGAUGGGAUUAGCUAGUAGGUGGGGUAAAGGCUCACCUAGGCGAGGAUCCCUAGCUGGUCUGAGAGGAUGACAAGCCACAAUGGAAAUGAGACACCGGCCAGACUCCGACGGGAGGCAGCAGGUGGGAGUGUUGCACAAUGGGGUCAAGCCUGAUGCAUCCAUGCCGCGUGUGUUGAGAAGGCCUUCGUGUUGUAAAGCACUUUCAGCGGGGGGGCGUGACCCGCAGAAGAAGUCACGGCUAACUCCGUGCCAGCAGCCGCGGUUAUAC
rnacentral:rRNA from 1 species